rnacentral:rRNA from 1 species
GCAUAUCAAUAAGCGGAGGAAAAGAAACUAACAAGGAUUCCCCUAGUAACUGCGAGUGAAGCGGGAAAAGCUCAAAUUUAAAAUCUGGCGGUUCUUGCAGUCGUCCGAGUUGUAAUUUAGAGAAGUGUUAUCCGCGCUGGACCGUAUACAAGUCUCCUGGAAUGGAGCGUCAUAGAGGGUGAGAAUCCCGUCUUUGAUACGGACUACCAGGGCUUUGUGAUGCGCUCUCGAAGAGUCGAGUUGUUUGGGAAUGCAGCUCAAAAUGGGUGGUAAAUUCCAUCUAAAGCUAAAUAUUGGCGAGAGACCGAUAGCGAACAAGUACCGUGAGGGAAAGAUGAAAAGAACUUUGGAAAGAGAGUUAAACAGUACGUGAAAUUGUUGAAAGGGAAACGCUUGAAGUCAGUCGCGUUGGCCGGGGAUCAACCUUGCUCUUUUGCUUGGCGUACUUCCCAGUCGACGGGUCAGCAUCAGUUUUGACUGUUGGAUAAAGGUUAGGGGAAUGUGGCAUCUUCGGAUGUGUUAUAGCCUCUGGUCGUAUACAGCAGUUGGGACUGAGGAACUCAGCACGCCGCAAGGCCGGGUCUUUGACCACGUACCGUGCUUAGGAUGCUGGCAUAAUGGCUUUAAUCGACCCGUCUUGAAACACGGACC